rnacentral:rRNA from 1 species
UGGAAGUAAAGUCGUAACAAGGUUUCCGUAGGUGAACCUGCGGAAGGAUCAUUACCGAGUGAGGGCCCUCUGGGUCCAACCUCCCACCCGUGUUUAUUUUACCUUGUUGCUUCGGCGGGCCCGCCUUAACUGGCCGCCGGGGGGCUCACGCCCCCGGGCCCGCGCCCGCCGAAGACACCCUCGAACUCUGUCUGAAGAUUGAAGUCUGAGUGAAAAUAUAAAUUAUUUAAAACUUUCAACAACGGAUCUCUUGGUUCCGGCAUCGAUGAAGAACGCAGCGAAAUGCGAUACGUAAUGUGAAUUGCAAAUUCAGUGAAUCAUCGAGUCUUUGAACGCACAUUGCGCCCCCUGGUAUUCCGGGGGGCAUGCCUGUCCGAGCGUCAUUGCUGCCCUCAAGCCCGGCUUGUGUGUUGGGCCCCGUCCUCCGAUCUCCGGGGGACGGGCCCGAAAGGCAGCGGCGGCACCGCGUCCGGUCCUCGAGCGUAUGGGGCUUUGUCACCCGCUCUGUAGGCCCGGCCGGCGCUUGCCGAUCAACCCAAAUUUUUAUCCAGGUUGACCUCGGAUCAGGUAGGGAUACCCGCUGAACUUAAGCAUAUCAAUAAGCGGAGGAA